AUUGAACGCUGGCGGCAUGCCUUACACAUGCAAGUCGAACGGUAACGCGGGGCAACCUGGCGACGAGUGGCGAACGGGUGAGUAAUGCAUCGGAACGUGCCCAGUAGUGGGGGAUAGCCCGGCGAAAGCCGGAUUAAUACCGCAUACGACCUAUGGGUGAAAGCGGGGGAUCGCAAGACCUCGCGCUAUUGGAGCGGCCGAUGUCAGAUUAGCUAGUUGGUAGGGUAACGGCCUACCAAGGCUACGAUCAGUAGGGGGCGUGAGAGGGCACACGGCCACACUGGCACUGAAACACGGGCCAGACUCCUACGGGAGGCAGCAGUCGGGAAUUUUGGGCAAUGGGCGAAAGCCUGACCCAGCAACGCCGCGUGAAGGAUGAAGUAUUUCGGUAUGUAAACUUCGAAAGAAUAGGAAGAAUAAAUGACGGUACUAUUUAUAAGCUCCGGCUAACUACGUG
rnacentral:rRNA from 1 species